AGAGCACAGCGAACGGGAGGAGCGUGCGGUUUAAUUGGAUUCAACGCGGAAUCUUACCGGGACCGACAGCAAUAUGAAGGCCAGGCUGAAGACUUUGCCGGAUUAGCUGAGAGGUGGUGCAUGGCCGUCGUCAGUUCGUACUGUGAAGCAUCCUGUUAAGUCAGGCAACGAGCGAGACCCACGCCCACAGUUGCCAGCGUACCCUCUGGAGUGACGGGUACACUGUGGGGACCGCCGCUGCUAAAGCGGAGGAAGGAAUGGGCAACGGUAGGUCAGUAUGCCCCGAAUAUCCCGGGCUACACGCGAGCUACAAUGGUUGGUACAAUGGGUAUCUACCCCGAAAGGGGACGGGAAUCUCCUAAAACCAAUCUUAGUUCGGAUUGAGGGCUGCAACUCGCCCUCAUGAAGCUGGAAUCCGUAGUAAUCGCGUUUCAACAGAACGCGGUGAAUACGUCCCUGCUCCUU
rnacentral:rRNA from 1 species